rnacentral:rRNA from 1 species
GACGAACGCUGGCGGCGUGCUUAACACAUGCAAGUCGAACGGAAAGGCCCUGCUUUUGUGGGGUGCUCGAGUGGCGAACGGGUGAGUAACACGUGAGUAGCCCGCCCUUGACUUUGGGAUAACUUCAGGAAACUGGGGCUCAUACCGGAUAGGAGCUCCUGCUGCAUGGUGGGGGAUGGAAAGUUUCGGCGGUUGGGGAUGGACUCGCGGCUUAUCAGCUUGUUGGUGGGGUAGUGGCUUACCAAGGCUUUGACGGGUAGCCGGCCUGAGAGGGGGACCGGCCACAUGGGGACUGAGAUACGGCCCAGACUCCUACGGGAGGCAGCAGUGGAGAAUAUUGCACAAUGGGCGGAAGCCUGAUGCAGCAACGCCGCGUGCGGGAUGACGGCCUUCGGGUUGUAAACCGCUUUCGCCGGUGACGAAGCGUGAGUGACGGUAAUGGGUAAAGAAGCACCGGCUAACUACGUG